rnacentral:rRNA from 1 species
CCUACGGGAGGCAGCAGUGAGGAAUAUUGGUCAAUGGGCGGGAGCCUGAACCAGCCAAGCCGCGUGAGGGAAGAAGGUACAGCGUAUCGUAAACCUCUUUUGUCAGGGAACAAAGGCGGGGACUAGUCCCCGGAUGAGGGUACCUGAAGAAAAAGAAUCGGCGAACUCCGUGCCAGCAGCCGCGUUAAUACGGGGGAGGCGAGCGUUCUACGGCUUUAUUGGGUUAAAAGGGUGCGCAGGCGGCCUGUUAAGUAUGCGGUAAAAGCCCGGGGCUCAACCCCGGGGAGCCGUUGAAACUGGAGGGCUGGAGUUGGAGAGAAGGACGCGGAAUGCGCGGUGUAGCGGUGAAAUGCUUAGAUAUCGCGCAGAACCCCGAUUGCGAAGGCAGCGUACCGGCUCCACACUGACGCUGAGGCACGAAAGCGUGGGUAUCGAACAGGAUUAGAUACCCUUGUAGUC